GACGAACGCUGGCGGCGUGCUUAACACAUGCAAGUCGAACGGAAAGGCCCUGCUUUUGUGGGGUGCUCGAGUGGCGAACGGGUGAGUAACACGUGAGUAACCUGCCCUUGACUUUGGGAUAACUUCAGGAAACUGGGGCUAAUACCGGAUAGGAGCUCCUGCUGCAUGGUGGGGGUUGGAAAGUUUCGGCGGUUGGGGAUGGACUCGCGGCUUAUCAGCUUGUUGGUGGGGUAGUGGCAUACCAAGGCUUUGACGGGUAGCCGGCCUGAGAGGGUGACCGGCCACAUUGGGACUGAGAUACGGACCAGACUCCUACGGGAGGCAGCAGUGGGGAAUAUUGCACAAUGGGCGGAAGCCUGAUGCAGCAACGCCGCGUGCGGGAUGACGGCCUUCGGGUUGUAAACCGCUUUCGCCUGUGACGAAGCGUGAGUGACGGUAAUGGGUAAAGAAGCACCGGCUAACUACGUG
rnacentral:rRNA from 1 species